rnacentral:rRNA from 1 species
UCAAGCGAACAAGUGCAUGCGGUGGAUGCCUUGGCGAUCACAGGCGAUGAAGGACGCGGUAGCCUGCGAAAAGCCCCGGGGAGCUGGCAAACAAGCUUUGAUCCGGGGAUGUCCGAAUGGGGAAACCCACUCCGUAUGGAGUAUCCAUGGCUGAAUACAUAGGCCAUGUGAAGCGAACGCGGUGAACUGAAACAUCUAAGUAACCGCAGGAAAAGAAAUCAACCGAGAUUCCCAAAGUAGUGGCGAGCGAAAUGGGAUGAGCCUUGUACUCUUUAUUCGUAUUGUUAGCCGAACGCUCUGGAAAGUGCGGCCAUAGCAGGUGAUAGCCCUGUAGGCGAAAACAGUAUGAAAGAACUAGGUGUACGACAAGUAGGGCGGGACACGUGAAAUCCUGUCUGAAGAUGGGGGGACCAUCCUCCAAGGCUAAAUACUCGUGAUCGACCGAUAGUGAACCAGUACCGUGAGGGAAAGGCGAAAAGAACCCCGGGAGGGGAGUGAAAUAGAUCCUGAAACCGCAUGCAUACAAACAGUCGGAGCCUCGUAAGGGGUGACGGCGUACCUUUUGUAUAAUGGGUCAGCGACUUACGUUCAGUAGCAAGCUUAACCGUAUAGGGCAGGCGUAGCGAAAGCGAGUCCGAAUAGGGCGUUCAGUUGCUGGGCGUAGACCCGAAACCAGGUGAUCUAUCCAUGGCCAGGAUGAAGGUGCGGUAACACGUACUGGAGGUCCGAACCCACUAACGUUGAAAAGUUAGGGGAUGAGCUGUGGAUAGGGGUGAAAGGCUAAACAAACCUGGAAAUAGCUGGUUCUCUCCGAAAACUAUUUAGGUAGUGCCUCGUGUCUCACCUUCGGGGGUAGAGCACUGUCAUGGUUGGGGGGUCUAUUGCAGAUUACCCCGCCAUAGCAAACUCCGAAUACCGAAGAGUGCAAUCACGGGAGACAGACAUCGGGUGCUAACGUCCGGUGUCAAGAGGGAAACAACCCAGACCGCCAGCUAAGGUCCCCAAAUAUGGCUAAGUGGGAAACGAAGUGGGAAGGCUAAAACAGUCAGGAGGUUGGCUUAGAAGCAGCCACCCUUUAAAGAAAGCGUAAUAGCUCACUGAUCGAGUCGUCCUGCGCGGAAGAUGUAACGGGGCUAAGCCAUAUACCGAAGCUGCGGAUGCGUGCUUGCACGCAUGGUAGGAGAGCGUUCCGUAAGCCUGCGAAGGUGCCUUGUAAAGGGUGCUGGAGGUAUCGGAAGUGCGAAUGCUGACAUGAGUAGCGAUAAAGGGGGUGAAAGGCCCCCUCGCCGUAAGCCCAAGGUUUCCUACGCAACGUUCAUCGGCGUAGGGUGAGUCGGCCCCUAAGGCGAGGCAGAAAUGCGUAGCUGAUGGGAAGCAGGUCAAUAUUCCUGCACCGUCGUUAGAUGCGAUGGGGGGACGGAUCGCGGAAGGUUGUCCGGGUGUUGGACGUCCCGGUCGCUGCAUUGGAGAAGGCGCUUAGGCAAAUCCGGGCGCAGGAUUCAAGGGUGUGGCGCGAGCGACUUCGGUCGCGAAGCAAUUGGAAGUGGUUCCAAGAAAAGCCUCUAAGCUUCAGUCUAACGAUGACCGUACCGCAAACCGACACAGGUGGGCGAGAUGAGUAUUCUAAGGCGCUUGAGAGAACUCGGGAGAAGGAACUCGGCAAAUUGGUACCGUAACUUCGGGAUAAGGUACGCCCUUGUAGCUUGACCAGCCUGCGCUGGAAGGGUGAAGGGGUUGCAAUAAACUGGUGGCUGCGACUGUUUAAUAAAAACACAGCACUCUGCAAACACGAAAGUGGACGUAUAGGGUGUGACGCCUGCCCGGUGCCGGAAGAUUAAAUGAUGGGGUGCAAGCUCUUGAUUGAAGUCCCGGUAAACGGCGGCCGUAACUAUAACGGUCCUAAGGUAGCGAAAUUCCUUGUCGGGUAAGUUCCGACCUGCACGAAUGGCGUAACGAUGGCCACACUGUCUCCUCCCGAGACUCAGCGAAGUUGAAGUGUUUGUGAUGAUGCAAUCUACCCGCGGCUAGACGGAAAGACCCCAUGAACCUUUACUGUAGCUUUGCAUUGGACUUUGAACCGAUCUGUGUAGGAUAGGUGGGAGGCUAUGAAACCGGAACGCUAGUUUCGGUGGAGCCGUCCUUGAAAUACCACCCUGGUUUGUUUGAGGUUCUAACCUUGGUCCGUGAUCCGGAUCGGGGACAGUGCAUGGUAGGCAGUUUGACUGGGGCGGUCUCCUCCCAAAGGGUAACGGAGGAGUACGAAGGUACGCUAGGUACGGUCGGAAAUCGUGCUGAUAGUGCAAUGGCAUAAGCGUGCUUAACUGCGAGACCGACAAGUCGAGCAGGUGCGAAAGCAGGUCAUAGUGAUCCGGUGGUUCUGUAUGGAAGGGCCAUCGCUCAACGGAUAAAAGGUACUCUGGGGAUAACAGGCUGAUACCGCCCAAGAGUUCAUAUCGACGGCGGUGUUUGGCACCUCGAUGUCGGCUCAUCUCAUCCUGGGGCUGUAGCCGGUCCCAAGGGUAUGGCUGUUCGCCAUUUAAAGAGGUACGUGAGCUGGGUUUAAAACGUCGUGAGACAGUUUGGUCCCUAUCUGCCGUGGGCGUUGGAUAUUUGAAGGGGGCUGCUCCUAGUACGAGAGGACCGGAGUGGACGAACCUCUGGUGUACCGGUUGUGACGCCAGUCGCAUCGCCGGGUAGCUAUGUUCGGAAGAGAUAACCGCUGAAAGCAUCUAAGCGGGAAACUCGCCUUAAGAUGAGAUAUCCCUGGAGGCUUGACCUCCUUGAAGGGUCGUUCGAGACCAGGACGUUGAUAGGUCGGGUGUGUAAGCGCAGUAAUGCGUUCAGCUAACCGAUACUAAUUGCCCGUAAGGCUUGAUC